UCUCUCUGAAUCUGCGUACGGCUCCGCACACCAGUUGUAAACCAAAGCAAGCAAGCCCGGUCUCGACGCCUUUCGGGGCUAGGGGCCGGGCUACAAGGAUAACCCUGGUAAUUCUGAGGCUAAUACUUGACACGAACCUGCUGACUGGGUCUCGGCUCGGGAGGUGGGGGAUGUGCGACUAUCGGGCCAACGAAACCGGAAAGAGCGCACGUUCAGACCACUUAAAAAGGCUUCGGGGUCCUUCGGGAUCCCGGGGCUGUGGCUCUUGCAGCGUGCUUCUGACCUAUCAACUAGACGGCAGCCUAAAGGACAUGCUUUGGUGACAACGGGUACAGAGGAUAAGGGUUCGAUCCUGGAGAGUGGGCCUGAGAGAUU
rnacentral:rRNA from 1 species